GACAGAGGGUGCAAACGUUGCUCGGAAUUACUGGGCGUAAAGCGCGCGUAGGCGGCCCGGUAAGUCCGCUGUGAAAGUCAAAGGCUCAACCUUUGAAUGUCAGCGGAUACUGCCGGGCUAGAGUCCGGAAGAGGCGAGUGGAACUCCUGGUGUAGCGGUGGAAUGCGCAGAUAUCAGGAAGAACACCAACGGCGAAGGCAGCUCGCUGGGACGGAACUGACGCUGAGGCGCGAAAGCGUGGGGAGCGAACAGG
rnacentral:rRNA from 1 species